rfam:Hordeum vulgare subsp. vulgare, WGS project CAJW01000000 data, contig: morex_contig_1564307
GCCAAUGAUGACAUGCCCAACAGUUGGAGGUGCAGAUGUCUCCAGGAUCCUGUUUACAGGAUGAACCUACCUGGAGGCGCUGUAUCCACAUGACAUCCAUGGGCAAUCUGAGGU